AACGCGAAGAACCUUACCAAGGUUUGACAUGCAGGGAAAGCCGUAGAGAUACGGUGUCCGUAAGGGUCCUGCACAGGUGGUGCAUGGCUGUCGUCAGCUCGUGUCGUGAGAUGUUGGGUUAAGUCCCGCAACGAGCGCAACCCUCGUCCUAUGUUGCCAGCGGGUAAUGCCGGGGACUCAUAGGAGACUGCCGGGGUCAACUCGGAGGAAGGUGGGGAUGACGUCAAGUCCUCAUGCCCCUUAUGUCUUGGGCUGCAAACAUGCUACAAUGGCCAGUACAAAGGGUUGCGAGACCGCAAGGUGGAGCGAAUCCCAAAAAGCUGGUCUCAGUUCGGAUUGGGGUCUGCAACUCGACCCCAUGAAGUCGGAGUCGCUAGUAAUCGCAGAUCAGCAACGCUGCGGUGAAUACGUUCCCGGGCCUUGUA
rnacentral:rRNA from 1 species